GCAGAAACACAAAAACUGAUGAAUAUAAAAAUAUCCCAAUAUGAAGGAAAAUAACAUUUUAUCAAACAGGAAGUGAGGUCAUCACUGUUAGCAGCGUAACGUGAAUCCAUCAUGGUCACCUGACAGGAAGCUGAACGACUCCGGUUACCGAACAUCGUGUCGCUCCGAUACCGCAGCAACAUCUCUUAAAGGGACAGGCCUCAUUCUGGUAAAAUGUGAUUUAUUACAGUAUCUAAACUAUAAUCAGGGCGAAAGCAACAAUUAGCAAACCCAACUUAGAAAAGAAAACUCCAAGUGUCUCUUCUCUGUCAGACGAGAAAACACUGAGGAAUGUUAAUAACCUUCAUGGAAGCAUUAUUAAUAUUAUUAUUCUCCUCUGAUAGCUUCACUGUCUCAUGGCUUCAGUAUUUAUCAGCCGACAUCCUGACAGUUCAGUUCAGGUCAGGUUCCCUGACCCCUGACCUUUUUAAGGCACCAUAAACAUGGAAUGUUUUUUUACAGUGACAACGUAGAAAUAACAUUUUAGACCGGAAACAUCAUUUCUUUAAACUGUUUUCAUGUGAACAAUGAAACAAGUCAAACCUCUAAUCUGACCUUUGACCCCAAACGUCAUGUUUCUGAUGCUGCAGCAGAAAUUCUACUAAAGACUGAACUGCAGCUUCACUGUUCGUUUCACAAAAAACAGCUGAGUCAGCAGGAAACCACAAACCCGUCCAGAACCAGAGAACCAACAUGGCGGAGCGUCUGCAGCCUGUUGGACUUAAAGUCCAAGCUGCUCGGUUUGGACUCGGUUAAACUUUAACGAGGUUCUGUUUGAUCUGGACGCUGUCCAACAUAAAGUCUCUCAUUCUGACUCCACUGCAGCUUCUGGUCCAGAAUCAGAACAGAACCUGAGCUCAGGUCCGUUUCCUCCAACCUGCUCUGUUCUUCAGUUUCCUGGUUCUGACUUUUCUUCUAGUUUUAUCACGUCUACCUUAAGGCGUGACAUUAGUGCCAAAUUUAAGACUAUUGCGACCCAGCAGCAGAUACUUCCUUGUAGCAGGAGGCUACUUCUUUCUGGAUCCAGUUUCUGAUCCGACUGAUCGGCCGACAUCUGGAACCCAUCAAUCAGGUCUGACAAACAAUAAGGAGAGUAUUGGUUAGUGUUAGCUUUGGAGAGGCUAACAACUAGCAUGUCUUGGAUGGACACCCAUCGUAGCCUCCUUCUGCU